rnacentral:misc_RNA from 1 species
UUAUCACUAGAUGCAACAUCAACACAGGAGACGAUGCUAUCUGUCCAAAGUCAUCAAAUGGACCUGUCUACAACCUCACAGUAACAGACUGCUGGAUUCGAACAAAAUCUUCUGCUAUCAAACUAGGAAGCGCUAGCUUUUACACGUUCAAGAAUUUCUUGUUUGAUAACAUUACAAUUGUUGAAUCACAUAGAGGCCUCGCUCUACAAAUUCGAGAUGGAGGAAAUGUUAGUGACAUGAUCUUCUCAAACAUAAAUAUCAGCACAAGAUACUACCAUCCAUCAUGGUGGGGAAGAGCAGAGCCUAUCUAUGUGACAACCUGUCCAAGGGAUGCUAGUUCAAAAGCAGGUUCAAUUUCCAAUUUGCUAUUUGUCAACAUCACAGCAACUUCUGAAAACGGCAUCUUCUUAUCGGGGUCGGGCGGUGGAGUCCUUAGCAAUCUAAAGUUCGUAAACAUGAACCUGACGUACAAGAGAUGGACAAAGUUCCCAGAUGGGUUGGUAGAUUACAGGCCAGGAUGCCAAGAACUUGUAAAGCACCAACCUGCGGGAUUCAUGAUGGAGCAUAUUGAUGGUCUGGUUGUUAAAGAUGUAGUCAUGAAAUGGUCUAGUGAUGAAUCAAUGAGAUGGAAUAAUCCAUUGGAUUUCAGGCCAUCUACUGUAAAUAAUAUUUCUUUGCUCAAUUUCUACUCCAGAGCCUACGAACAACAGUGAGGGUGAGGGGCUAAACAGGAAGCUGCAAGUAAAAAAAAAAUUGUUCUAUAGAAAAAUAAAGCUGAAAUUAUGUGCUCAUGAUGAAUGCAAAGUGAUGUUGAUUUGAGCUCGUCCCAGUUGAGGACCCAUUCUAUGUUCCCCCCACGGCAGAUUACCAAAGUUGAUAAUCAAUUCUGUUACCUAUUCGGAAUGGUUUUCUUUUAGCUACUCUGUUUUGCUUUCUCGGAUGAUCUACUUCAAAUAUUGGUGAUUGUCAGAAUGUAACACCAGUGUGCCAUAACAAUGUGUUACCUAAAUGCUCUGGUUUGAUAUGGAGUUAAAAUUUCGUUAAGUGGAGUUUGGAUAAUGUUUUCAAGUUCAAGGUGGAGAAGAAAUAAAUAUUGCAAGUUGAGUUGUAAAAAUAAGCAACAGUCAUUCAACAUGGUGGUUGUUUUGUUUGUAUUUCG